CUUGUUACCGGUUGGCAUAAUAAUUUUACCACUACAUAAAUAUUUCUUGCCGAUACGGUGAAACUUCAAUUCUUUUGCAUACCUGCAAUUGUAUUCCUUAUAAAUAUGUACCAUGUGAAUACUGAUACUGAUGUUAGUCGUGAAUACUAGUUGGGAUUAUUCUAACACUUGAUUUAAAGGAGUGCGAACUUGCAGCACGUGUAAUAAAGUAGCGGAAGCAACGUGCUUACACGUGACUUCGUCGCCGUAGCUAGAUCUGCUUCUGCUGAUUCGUACCUACUUUUAGGCGUCCUGUUUCGAUUUGCCGAUUUCGAAUCAUCACAUAGGGUGAUUUAUGGGAACAAUAAAAAUGGUCUUUAUUCUGGUCAAUAAAGUUUUUCGCAAUGCAUUAAAAUGGUUACCAGUUCUACACACUUGAGCAAGACCCCAGAAGGUCAAAGGUACCAUGGAUGAAGCAUCGUUGGAAAGGUACGUUAAGAAAAUAGGUAGAUACACUCUUAGAACUGUGGUAAUAAAAGUGCAUACUCGUUUAUUACCGAACGGUUGGUAAAUAUAGACUAUCCCGUAGCAGUAAUAAAAUUGUUUACCAAAAUUCAUUAUAAUGAAAAAACUUUAUUUCUUAUUGUGUGGUAUUAUCGGGAAAACCAAAGCGGUAAUAUAAAAUUACCAAGUAAUGUUAAUUUAACACUGCAUUGAGGAAUAUGAUUAAUACUGCCUCGCAUUAAAUCUUUUCGUUUAAUGGGUAAUAAGUUAAAACUCUAAUGCGGUGUAGUUUUAAUACUACUCCGGUAAAUAUCUUUUGCAAACUCGACCCCGCAACAUUCAAAAGCACUGGGACUCGCUCUCAGAAAAUUUGUUCGUUUAGAAUUCCUUUCAAGCUGGUUCUUAAAGGUAAAUCUAAAGGUAAUUAGAUUAAUGCUAAUUAAUUUGUUGAUGCCAAAGUGUAACUUAUUCAUUUUUAAAUGUACAUAAAUUUCAUUUUUAGUCACUGCAAAGUUUGCUGCCAAACUGAUCGAGCUACAAAUGGGAUUCAUCAGUAAUUCAAGAUCAGAAGUCAUUUGCUGAAACUAUUGUUGAGAUCUUGCCAUUUUGGACAUCUCCAGGGACUGCUCUUGGAAUUGUAAAUUUUAAGUUGAAGGUACUAUUUUAAAUAGUCUAUUUAUGAAAU